ACUCAAAGGAAUAGACGGGGGCCCGCACAAGCAGUGGAGUAUGUUGUUUAAUUCGAUGCAACGCGAAGAACCUUACCAGGGCUUGACAUCCCAAGAAGGCUGUAGAGAUACGGCUGUGCCCUUCGGGGAACUUGGAGACAGGUGGUGCAUGGUUGUCGUCAGCUCGUGUCGUGAGAUGUUGGGUUAAGUCCCGCAACGAGCGCAACCCUUACGGUUAGUUGCUACGGAAGAGCACUCUGGCCGGACUGCCGUUGACAAAACGGAGGAAGGCGGGGACGACGUCAAAUCAUCAUGCCCCUUAUGUCCUGGGCUACAAACGUACUACAAUGGCCGCCAACAACGGGGGGCGAAGGCGCGAGCCGGAGCAAAUCCCAAAAAGCGGUCCCAGUUCGGAUCGCAGGCUGCAACCCGCCUGCGUGAAGUCGGAAUUGCUAGUAAUCGCGGAUCAGCAUGCCGCGGUGAAUACGUUCCCGGGCCUUGUACACACCGCCCGU
rnacentral:rRNA from 1 species